rnacentral:rRNA from 1 species
AGCGAACGCUGGCGGCAGGCCUAACACAUGCAAGUCGAACGAAGUCUUCGGACUUAGUGGCGGACGGGUGAGUAACACGUGGGAACGUACCUUUUGGUUCGGAACAACUCAGGGAAACUUGAGCUAAUACCGAAUGUGCCCUUAGGGGGAAAGAUUUAUCGCCAUUAGAGCGGCCCGCGUUAGAUUAGCUAGUUGGUGGGGUAAAGGCCCACCAAGGCUACGAUCUAUAGCUGGUCUGAGAGGAUGAUCAGCCACACUGGGACUGAGACACGGCCCAGACUCCUACGGGAGGCAGCAGUGGGGAAUCUUGCGCAAUGGGCGAAAGCCUGACGCAGCCAUGCCGCGUGAAUGAUGAAGGUCUUAGGAUUGUAAAAUUCUUUCAGUAGGGACGAUAAUGACGGUACCUACAGAAGAAGCCCCGGCUAACUUCGUGCCAGCAGCCGCCGUAAUAC